rnacentral:rRNA from 1 species
UACGAAGGGGGCUAGCGUUGCUCGGAAUUACUGGGCGUAAAGGGCGCGUAGGCGGAUGUUUAAGUCGGGGGUGAAAGCCCAGGGCUCAACCCUGGAAUUGCCUUCGAUACUGGAGAGCUUGAGUCCGGGAGAGGUGAGUGGAACUCCGAGUGUAGAGGUGAAAUUCGUAGAUAUUCGGAAGAACACCAGUGGCGAAGGCGGCUCACUGGCCCGGUACUGACGCUGAUGUGCGAAAGCGUGGGGAGCAAACAGG